CACACCGCGUCUCUGCGUAGCUACGCGUAACCGAUGUUGGAUGUCGGACUGACUGUGAGAAGUGGGAGAUGGAUGGAAACUGACGUCAUAUUAUUUUAUCAUCGCUCGCUCGCGUACAGAAGAAAACGGGAGAUAAUGAAAAAAAGAAGAAAAAAAAAAAAAAAAGGCAGAAAAGAUUAAAAAUAAGAUGAGAAGUAAAAAGGAAAAAAAAGAAGCAUAUUAAACGAAACGAAAUGGUCUUGCGUUUCGUCAUAUUUUAUGAUUUUACAAUAUGCCGUAUUAACGUAUAACGAGUGUGCGCUGUGUUUUACGAAUAUAUAU
rnacentral:misc_RNA from 1 species